rnacentral:snRNA from 1 species
AUCGCUUCUCGGCCUUUUGGCUAAGAUCAAAUGUAGUAUCUGUUCUUAUCAGUUUAAUAAUUAGAUUUAAGUCAUGCCUUUUCUCCAGGCAUUUACUUGGCAACCCAUU